rnacentral:rRNA from 1 species
ACCGGGUCGGACGAACCUCUGGUAUACCGGUUGUGGCGCCAGCUGCACCGCCGGGUAUCCACGUUCGGUCAGGAUAAGCGCUGAAAGCAUCUAAGCGCGAAGCCGUCUCCGAGAUGAGACUUCCCUCAGGGUCGUGGGAGACUACCACGUUGAUAGGCAGGAGAUGUAAGGCCAGCAAUGGUUUCAGUCGACCUGUACUAAUAGCCCGAGAUCUUUUAAGUA